rnacentral:piRNA from 1 species
UGUUAAGCUUCCAUACUGCUGGUUUU